GCACAGUAGACAGCAUGGAUAAUUAAUAUCUGCAUUCUUCUGCAGAUUCAUCAGAGCGCCCUAAUCAGGGAAACAUCAUUGAAAAAUUGGAGGCAAAACUAUAUUACAAUUUACAAGUGGGAAUAACUACAGUUGGACUCUACCUAAGGGCAGCCCCGAUGAGGACCAAGAGAGCAUAAAUUACAAUGGGGCUUUUACCUUCUAUAAAAUUACUAUGCUAAUCAAAUAAAAACCUUAUCAGGCAACUAGCAUGAAGGCGGUUGAAGUUGCUUCAACCGCCGUACAACUUGCUUCAUUGUAGGCCUGGUAGAAAGCGAGUCGACAGUGCACACAACAGCCAGGUGUAACACUUCAACCAAAUCAUCAUGGGGACCCGCAUCCCACAGCCCAGCAGUAAAGAACUCCUUUGCCCGGCCCUGUUUUAGGAGCAUGCAUGCCCAAGCAACAAUGUUGAAACCAUUCCCGAAUGAUGAAAAUGAUGGGUCCAGAGCUUUCUUAUCAGAGAGCAACUCUAGAAGGACCACCCCAUAACUGUAAACAUCAGCCUUAUCCGAAACACGGCAAGUCAUUGCAUAUUCUGGGGCAACAUAACCAAAAGUUCCAGCCACGCCUGUAGUAGCAUGGGUUUCAGAAGUUCC
rnacentral:misc_RNA from 1 species